UCAAGUUUUGAAUUGGACUUCAUUUUUUGUACUACAUUUAUUAUUAUUUUAAAGGCCAAAGUGCAGGAACCAAUAUCUGAGGAACAGGACUUUUCAAACACGGCUGAAAUACUGGAGGUUUAUUUUUUUUUUGAAUUUAAAAAAAUAAUUUUUGAUGAUUUGUUUGAUUUAGAAAAUGUCCCUGGAUGAUUUGGUUGAUCCUAAUAUCAGUAACAAGUUGUUCAGAGGAAUUGUCUUUCAAACCGUUCUUGAAAAGUUACCAGCUACAAUGCCCACAUUUGAUCGUCUCAACCAUAUUUCAAAGCUUAGAGAAGAAAUAGGCGAUAUUUCUUUAAAUUUGUCUGAUAUUCCCUGGCAUAAAGUUGUUGUUGAUAACAAAAAAAUUGAUGCUUACAUUGAAGAUCUCUCUUUGAAACUGAAGUUUUCCUAUGAACAUUUUCUGUGUCCUCCUACAAAUGUUUGCAUAAAUACGAGUUGCAAAAAUAUCGGAAAAGAACUAAGUAAAAACCAUGUCCCUACCCAAGUUAUUCUGUGUACGACAAAUGGUUUAAAAACUGCAAGCUCGUACUCCUAUAGGUGUAGAUAUUGUAAACAUGUCUACAGUUAUGAUAUGUAUGGCUUAAAUAGUAAUAAGCAUUUUUAUGGCAAGAAAAGACCGUACGUUCGGUCAACUCAAAUGAUGUAUAUUGAGAGAAAUCUAAUGGAAUUUAAGAGACAACUUUCAUUACAUAGUCAAGUAAGCUUUGAAUCAAUAGCUAUAUGCUAUAAUUAUGCCUACAGAACAGAAAGUAAACUAGUCUCUCAGGUCUUUGAAACCUAUGGAGAUGACUGUACACAAUCGGAAACUGAUGAAGAUUAGUCUGCUACAAUAGAUGAGUCCAUGUAUUUUCUGAAAUAUCACUUAAACAGAAAACAAGUAAGUAGUGGAUUCUGGGUUUUUCUCAUAGAAGAAGAAUAUCAUGAAAGUUCCUCUGACUUCACCUUCUCUGGAUCUCAAGCAGUGUCUUUUAAUUCGUUUAUGGACAAAGUAGAUACAUCAAGAAGAAAUAAACUGUAUGACCAUACAUGUCAGACAUUUUAGUGAACCUCGAGCUUGUUCCAAGAGUACAAGCAUGGAUGGAAUAUGGAAGAUAAGAUACAAAACGUGCUCAGCGGUUAGACCAAGGAAGGAAGUAAACAUUGCUACAGACAAAUAUCCUCGGAACUGCACUAAUAGCCCCAAGCCUGGCUCAGCUUUUUGUAAUGAUUGUGGAGAAUAAAUAAUUAAAUUAGGUAUUCCAGUGGAUUUGCGUGGUUUCUUGAAGUAUGCAGGGUGUAAUGUUGAUGCUUACACUAUCUCUGAUAGAAAGAAGAAAAACGAUUU